rnacentral:rRNA from 1 species
CGAGCCUGAUCCAGCAUGCCGCGUGAGUGAUGAAGGCCUUAGGGUUGUAAAGCUCUUUUACCCGGGAUGAUAAUGACAGUACCGGGAGAAUAAGCUCCGGCUAACUCCGUGCCAGCAGCCGCGGUAAUACGGAGGGAGCUAGCGUUGUUCGGAAUUACUGGGC